rnacentral:sRNA from 1 species
GUAGCAGCGGAGGCGAGCGGAGGGUUUCCCGCGGCGGGUGAGGCGCUGGAGUCUCACUCUGCUGCCUAGGCUGAGUGCAGUGGUGUGAUCAAGGCGCACUGCAGCCUUGACCUCCUGGGCUCAAGCGAUCCUCACCUCGGUCUACCGAGUAGCUGGGACUACAGGCACGCGCCACUACACUCGGGUCAUCUUAUGCAGAUAUGCUACAUGACAAAGACAGAAAUGUAAAAUACUACCAAGGUAUCCGGGUUGCCGUGAGCAGGGUGAAGGACAGAGGACAGAAGGCCUUGGUUCUCGACAUUGGCACUGGCACGGGACUCUUGUCAAUGAUGGCGGUCACAGCAGGUGCCGACUUCUGCUAUGCCAUCGAGGUUUUCAAGCCUAUGGCUGAUGCUGCUGUGAAGAUUGUGGAGAAAAAUGGCUUUAGUGAUAAGAUUAAGGUUAUCAACAAGCAUUCCACCGAGGUGACUAUAGGUCCAGAGGGUGACAUGCCAUGCCGUGCCAACAUCCUGGUCACAGAGUUGUUUGACACAGAGCUGAUCGGGGAGGGGGCGCUGCCCUCCUAUGAGCACGCACACAGGCAUCUCGUGGAGGAAAAUUGUGAGGCCGUGCCCCACAGAGCCACCGUCUAUGCACAGCUGGUGGAGUCCAGGAGGAUGUGGUCGUGGAACAAGCUAUUUCCCAUCCACGUGCAGACCAGCCUCGGAGAGCAGGUCAUCGUCCCUCCCAUGGACCUGGAGAGCUGCCCUGGCGCACCCUCUGUCUGUGACAUUCAGCUGAACCAGGUGUCACCAGCCGACUUUACAGUCCUCAGCGAUGUGCUGCCCAUGUUCAGCAUAGACUUCAGCAAGCAAGUCAGUAGCUCAGCAGCCUGCCAUAGCAGGCGGUUUGAACCUCUGACAUCUGGCCGAGCUCAGGUGGUUCUCUCGUGGUGGGACAUUGAAAUGGACCCUGAGGGGAAGAUCAAGUGCACCAUGGCCCCCUUCUGGGCACACUCAGACCCAGAGGAGA